rnacentral:misc_RNA from 1 species
GCCGACUUAAUACCGAAAAAUAAGGAGUGAUUUGAAAUUUCCUAAUUAUUGUCAAAACAUGAAGCUUCCAACACAGCUUUAUAAGACAAACUACAAUUAUCUAUUUCAACUUGCAUAAAAAGUUCUCCAAAUAAAUCAUACACAAUACCCAUCAAUCCCUUUUGAAGGGCCCUACACUUCCACUAUCUGAAAGAGAAAUGAUAUAGUUCUCAGUGCUAAUAUAUUUGGUCAUUCUCCACUUACCCCACCACAGAUAUUGAAACGGGCAGCACAUCAAUGGAGCUUUUGAAUACUUUGGCUUGGCUUGCCUUGACCAUACAUAUAACACCAAGUGCCAGUGAUUUUUCUUCCUUGACAUGAAAAUGACUCCUUUGACAAAACUAGAAAAAAGCGAAUGAACAGUUGCAACCGACUGGGAUGUGAUUUUUGUUUGAAACUUCAACUGGGUGUUGCUGUAACUAUGGGACCCAGAUGCCUCCUGGGAGCGAUUGAUAAGCACGUGAAGGUAACUCUUGAGGUUUAUGAUGGAGCGUUUGAUUCAGGCUUGACAAUUGAUGGUCCAUCUGGUGGGUGAGUUAGGAAGAUUGCCGACGCAAGUGAUAUGGGCAUGAUGCAAAGUGCCUUGGAUUGAAGGAAUUGCAUAGCAGCACCAAUGUCUUCUUCCAUUAACUUAGCUACUUGUUGCUCAGUGCCAUCAUUUGACCACUUCUCCCAAGCUUGCUGAUUUGCCCCUUCAAUGCUCUCUCCCUUGAAUCACAUUCAUUUAAGAAUUUAAUAAACUGCACAAAAUUUGGACAGAAGGGAAAAGUACCACGUGGACACAUACAUCUAAAGCACAAAUAACGCAGGAGUUGCAAUUCUUCCAACUUAUUACCUCAACUGAUGAUAAUGGAACAUCAGCUACAAGCUGAGCCACUGCACCUGCUGCCCCCAGUCUACUCAUGCUCAAAACCUUCACUUGGAGCCUUAGAAACUUCACAUAAUCCACUAUUUCAUCAAGCAUGGCUGCUCUAUCUGUCUUGUUGGCAGUAGGCACUAACUCCUGCAAAGCCUUCAUUCUCUCUGCAAUCCUUUCCCUACGUAACCGCUCAGCAAUGCUGUGAGGAUCAGUGGCUUGUCCUCGUCUUGCUCGUACCCUUGGGCGAAUGGCCGGCGGGUGUGCUACAGCAGAAACUGCUCCUGGUGUUGGCUGACCAUGAAAUGGCUGGUGGAGCUGAGGUGCACCAGGUGGUGGAGGUGGUGGUGUUGGGCGGAUUGACUGGGUUUGCAACUGUCCAAACGUUGGGAACAAACUCGCAAUGUGAACAGAAUUUCUCUCAUUGAUUCCAGAAGUUGUAGAAGCAUUAUUAUUGGCAUGAUUAUUGUUAUCCAAAGCACCACCACCAUCUUCUUGUUGCCUCAAAAAGCCAUGAUGCUCUAAGUUCAGCCCUAAAGGCAUCAUUCCCAUAUUAUUAGUCCUCAACCCACCACCACCAGGAGUCCCCAACUGCAAACCCAUCAUAGGCAUGGUGGACCCCACCACCUCUCCUCCACCGGUGUCACCACCACCGCCAUAGCCCGGCUGCACUGCCAAGAUCUGCUCAAAGAAAUCAUCUCCUAGUCCCUCAGGUGGAGGAUUUCCCGCCAUGCAAAAUUGCAAAGUAAUAAAUAGAGACAAAACACUUGUAGUGUGCUGUAAUAUAAAUGGUAAUAAUGGCAAGAGCGAUUAUAUUUUUUUAGUGUUUAGCAGAGAAAAACAGAAAGUGUGGAUAGCGUCCCUUCCUCUGUUGGCUGUAGAGACAAUGGAAGAGAGGUGGAGAUGGGGUGUUUGAAAAAACCCAAGAAAAAGAGACUGUUGGUGAAUUGGGUGGCAGAUCCUGAACCCAAUACCGGGGAAGCGAAUUGGGGAUUCCAAGAUGGUUUAUGGGAAUGGCUGGCUGCCCUUAUUUUGAAGUUCCUGUUUGGAGAGAGAGAGAGAGAGAGAA